GCAGCCGACUCCUCUCCUCCCUCACUCCGGAAGGCACUUGCUUCGAUUGUCCCUCUCAUCGCUUGGGCUAUUUGGAAGCACCGCAACGCGUGUAUCUUUGACCAUAGGCAACCCUCCAUCAAUCUCCUGUUCGCAGCGAUUCAAGAUGACGUGCGCGCCUAGGCCAAGACCGGCGCCAAAGGGCUACAAACUCUAAUAGAUGUAAUGUAA
rnacentral:rRNA from 1 species